CUACUACUCCCUCCGUUCGGAAUUACUUGUAGUAGAAAUGGAUGUAUCUAGAUGUAUUUUAGUUCUAGAUAUAUCCAUUUCCAAGACAAGUAAUUCCGAACGAAGAGAGUAGUAG
rnacentral:pre_miRNA from 1 species